CUUACUUGAGCCAAUGGUUCUAACUAGAAAGAUCUUUAAGGCAUGGAAUUCUUGUUCUCAAAAAUCCAAAGGUGAGGAGACUGGCGAGCACACUAUAGCAAUGCUUAAGGCAGAGAAAGAAGACUAGAAUCACCACUUCACAAUGAGAAAUGGUUGUUUGUCCAGCUAAAGCACGAACUAGCAUAUGCAGAGGCUUAACGCAGACAUGUACAAGGCUUCUCACAUGGUCAACAAUAUGAAGGAAGAGAUACCAUAUUAUUCCAUGCCGGAGUACCAUUUUCUGAAGGAAAGUUUGGGUGGUAAUACAAAGGGCUAGA